rnacentral:rRNA from 1 species
CCUUGGACAAACCCUGAAAAGGGUUUAAUCCCGAUUUUUUCUUGAGGGAUUCGGGGGUUUGAAAAUUCCGGCGGGCAGAUGACCCCCGGCCUUUCAGCUGUUGGUGAGGUAAUGCUCACCAAGGCGACGACGGGUAGCCGGCCUGAGAGGGCGACCGGCCACCCUGGGACUGAGACACGGCCCAGAUUCCUACGGGAGGCAGCAGUGGGGAAUAUUGCACAAUGGGCGAAAGCCUGAUGCAGCGACGCCGCGUGAGGGAUGACGGCCUUCGGGUUGUAAACCUCUUUCAGCAGGGAAGAAGCGAAAGUGACGGUACCUGCAGAAGAAGCGCCGGCUAACUACGUGCCAGCAGCCGCGGUAAUACGUAGGGCGCAAGCGUUGUCCGGAAUUAUUGGGCGUAAAGAGCUCGUAGGCGGCUUGUCACGUCGGUUGUGAAAGCCCGGGGCUUAACCCCGGGUCUGCAGUCGAUACGGGCAGGCUAGAGUUCGGUAGGGGAGAUCGGAAUUCCUGGUGUAGCGGUGAAAUGCGCAGAUAUCAGGAGGAACACCGGUGGCGAAGGCGGAUCUCUGGGCCGAUACUGACGCUGAGGAGCGAAAGCGUGGGGAGCGAACAGGAUUAGAUACCCUGGUAGUCCACGCCGUAAACGGUGGGCACUAGGUGUGGGCAACAUUCCACGUUGUCCGUGCCGCAGCUAACGCAUUAAGUGCCCCGCCUGGGGAGUACGGCCGCAAGGCUAAAACUCAAAGGAAUUGACGGGGGCCCGCACAAGCGGCGGAGCAUGUGGCUUAAUUCGACGCAACGCGAAGAACCUUACCAAGGCUUGACAUACACCGGAAAACCCUGGAGACAGGGUCCCCCUUGUGGUCGGUGUACAGGUGGUGCAUGGCUGUCGUCAGCUCGUGUCGUGAGAUGUUGGGUUAAGUCCCGCAACGAGCGCAACCCUUGUCCCGUGUUGCCAGCAGGCCCUUGUGGUGCUGGGGACUCACGGGAGACCGCCGGGGUCAACUCGGAGGAAGGUGGGGACGACGUCAAGUCAUCAUGCCCCUUAUGUCUUGGGCUGCACACGUGCUACAAUGGCCGGUACAAUGAGCUGCGAUACCGCGAGGUGGAGCGAAUCUCAAAAAGCCGGUCUCAGUUCGGAUUGGGGUCUGCAACUCGACCCCAUGAAGUCGGAGUCGCUAGUAAUCGCAGAUCAGCAUUGCUGCGGUGAAUACGUUCCCGGGCCUUGUACACACCGCCCGUCACGUCACGAAAGUCGGUAACACCCGAAGCCGGUGGCCAACCCCCUUGUGGUAGGGAGCUUUCGCGAACUUCCGCAUUUGCUUCGCCU